UACGAAGGGGGCUAGCGUUGUUCGGAAUUACUGGGCGUAAAGCGUGCGCAGGCGGCGCGCCAAGUCAGAGGUGAAAUCCUGGGGCUCAACCCCAGAACUGCCUUUGAGACUGGCGUGCUGGAGUGCGGGAGAGGUGAGUGGAAUUCCCAGUGUAGAGGUGAAAUUCGUAGAUAUUGGGAAGAACACCCGUGGCGAAGGCGGCUCACUGGCCCGUAACUGACGCUCAUGCACGACAGCGUGGGGAGCAAACAGG
rnacentral:rRNA from 1 species